rnacentral:rRNA from 1 species
UGGGGAAUUUUCUGCAAUGGGCGAAAGCCUGACAGAGCAAUACCGCGUGAGGGAUGAAGGCUCGUGGGUCGUAAACCUCUUUUUUCAAGGAGGAAGUUCUGACGUGUACUUGAAGAAUAAGCAUCGGCUAACUCCGUGCCAGCAGCCGCGGUAAGACGGAGGAUGCAAGUGUUAUCCGGAAUCACUGGGCGUAAAGCGUCUGUAGGUGGUUUAGUAAGUCUAUUGUUAAAUCUUGAGGCUCAACUUCAAAUCAGCGAUGGAAACUGCUAGACUAGAGUGUGGUAGAGGUAAGAGGAAUUUCCAGUGGAGCGGUGAAAUGCGUAGAUAUUGGAAAGAACACCGAUGGCGAA